rnacentral:rRNA from 1 species
CCAUCAAAACUUUUUAGCUAGAGUAUGAUAGAGGAAAGUGGAAUUUCUAGUGUAGAGGUGAAAUUCGUAGAUAUUAGAAAGAACACCAAAAGCGAAGGCAACUUUCUGGAUCAUUACUGACACUGAGGAACGAAAGCAUGGGUAGCGAAGAGGAUUAGAUACCCUCGUAGUCCAUGCCGUAAACGAUGUGUGUUAGACGUUGGAAAUUAAUUUUUAGUGUCGCAGCGAAAGCAAUAAACACACCGCCUGGGGAGUACGACCGCAAGGUUAAACCUCAAAUGAAUUGACGGGGACCCGCACAAGUAGUGGAGCAUGUGGUUUAAUUCGAAGAUACGCGCAGAACCUUACCAACACUUGACAUGUUCGUCGCGACUCUAAGAGAUUAGAGUUUUCGGUUCGGCCGGACGAAACACAGGUGCUGCAUGGCUGUCGUCAGCUCGUGUCGUGAGAUGUUGGGUUAAGUCCCGCAACGAGCGCAACCCUCACUUUUAGUUGCCAUCAUUUAGUUGGGCACUCUGAAAGAACUGCCAGUGAUAAGCUGGAGGAAGGUGGGGAUGACGUCAAGUCCUCAUGGCCCUUACGUGUUGGGCUACACACGUGCUACAAUGGCAUUUACAAUAGGAAGCAAGAUGGUGACGUCAAGCAAAUCCUAAAAAGAUGCCUCAGUUCGGAUUGUACUCUGCAACUCGAGUACAUGAAGCUGGAAUUACUAGUAAUCGCGGAUCAGCGCGCCGCGGUGAAUACGUUCCCGGGUCUUGUACACACCGCCCGUCACACCAUGGGAGUUGGUUCUACCUUAAGGCAAGGUUUAAAACCCUUGACCACGGUAUAGUCAGCGACUGGGGUGAAGUCGUAACAAGGUAACC